rnacentral:tRNA from 1 species
UAGCCUAUAUCUCAAUGGUAGAGAAUCUCAUUGAUAAUGGGAAUAUAUAGGUUCGAUUCCUAUUAGGCUAA